ensembl:lncRNA
GUUGAAUCAUAAAAGAAGAGUCCAAAAAAACUUUUAUUUGUUUGAAGGAAAUUCUUUCCAUGUGUUCCUGCUCUUUCUUUUGCUAAUUUGGGUCAUGUGCUUUCCUUUAGUCAUCUGCCCCAGGCAGAGAGUGGCCAGGGUCCUCCUCCCCUCACCACAGAGAGGUCUGGAGGUCUACAAGUGGUAACUGAAGACUGCUGGACUAACCACAUCCUACAAAAACUGGAAUAGCUGCUUUAGGCUGAGAGGUUCCACUGGAAUUUGAGGCUAAGAACAUAAAGAGAGCCAAAAACUAAAAGGUCCGCAAGGCAGGGUGUGAGAUGAUUGAAGGAGGAAGGAAAAGAGAGGAGGGGAGUACGAGAAAGAACCAAUAUCCUGAGUAGAGAGGAUGGGGCAGGAGGAAGCCAGACAGCUCCAGUCUGAAUAACAAUUUGUGUAUUUCAGUACACCUGGGGAAGGGCAGCAUAGCAUUAUAUUAAGGAUAGAAGUCAUGCUAUUGUGCAUAGUGGUGCUCUUGAAAAUAAAAGAAUGUGUAAAUGAAAGGAAAUGUGUAAAUGUGUAAAUGAAAGGAAAUGUGUAAAUGUGUAAAUGAAAAGAAAGACUGACCUCUAACAGAAUUCAUCUGGGUUUGUACCUAGUUUCUAUAUGACCCACUUCUUUAAAGUUUUGGGCUGUAUUGGGUACUCCUAUAAUUCUCUACUUUUUGUUUUGGAAACUGAGAAAUGUUUUUUAAAAGCCAAGCUCACUUUUCAGUGAUUUCACCCUAGAGAUCUUGGAAAGAGUCCAUGCUUGUGCUUCCCAUUUGGAGAUCAUUCCAGGUGUCUGUGGUACACUUUGCUAUAGUUUUCUGGUGUUGGUGUUGCUUCUGAAUCCUUGCAAUUCAAUGAAUCAGUCUACUUUAUUUAUUUUAGUUUAUUCUAUUCCUAGCAACUUUUAAAAUAUAGCUAUGAGUUCUUUUAUAUUCUCACUGGCUACAUGUCCCCUUCCUCUGAGUCUAGGUUGAUCUCUGAUUGCACCAAUCAACAGAGUGCAGCAAUAGUGAUGCUGUACUACCAGGGCCACAGGGCAGUAACACCACAUCUCACCUGUUCAUGAACGAAGACCAUGUGGCCUCAGCCUGGCUUCCUGGUGAAAUUCCCUCUUGGAUCCCUGAGAUCCCUUGUCCAAAAUUUAACCAACUUGAAACCACAUUGCUACAGAAGCCACCUAAAGCACCUGCAAGUAUCUUGGCAAUUCUUUGUUUUGUGGAAUGUUUCUUGACAUCUAUUCAGAGGUCAUCAAGAAUAUGUAUGUGAAUGCGGAAAUAAUUGGCCCAUAUGGAGAAUGGAAAAAUAACUAGCAGAAAUUCAAGAUUAUUUUCCAUUUUGGAAAGAACAAGUUCAGCCAUCAAAUAGGUUUGGUCACAUACCUCUGGUUGGUUUCUGCUGACUUGUCCUUGUUUAUGUUUAAGGAAAUAUGGGAAGAGUUACUAAAUUAACUAGAAGACCACUGGAUAUAGGCCUCAUAUUUCUAUUAUCUAUACAUAUUUAUCAAGAAUAUGCCAUAUUUUAAGAAUUAGUAGAGAAUAUGCCCAUGACAUAAAAUACUGGAAUUGUACUUUGGAAUCUCCAAAAUUAGAGGAAAGAGUAGAAGCAGCAUGAACCAACUUCAUUCAGGAAAAGAUGGCUGCAAAGUACUUUAACACUUGUAAAGUUAUAGACUCCACAAGAUACGGAAGAGUUUCAUGGUAGGAGAAUGGGGUGAACCACUAAGGAAGGGUGGAUAUUAUGUGUGACCCUCUCAGAGUACAGAGUGGAUUGUGCUUCUCUGUUGGAAGUCUACACCACUUACAUUGCCUUGGUUCUAGCUGCAAAUAUUCCUUCUCCCACCCACAGGGUCAUCUCUACACACUGUGGCAAUCGCUGAAAUUUUUUUCCUACUCUGAGAGCUAUUCCUUUUCCAUAACAGUAUUUCUCUGUGAAGAAUCUUGCUGAGAUAAACAUCAAAAGAAUAUUUGAAAUAGGAGUAGAAAUCACAAAAGGGUGUCACAUGGAGCACGCAUAUUGUGUGUGUGUGUGAAGGGGGGAGAGAGAGAAAGAGAGAGAGAGAAAGAGACAGAGAAAGAGAAAGAGACAGAGAUGAGAAAGACAAAAAUUAUUCAGCACUUGCUGCCAUUUUUCCUCAUUUGGAAAUUCUUUUCCAUUCUAAUUGUGGGCACAUAAACUUCAGAC